rnacentral:rRNA from 1 species
GGAAUAUUGGGCAAUGGAGGCAACUCUGACCCAGCAACGCCGCGUGAAUGAUGAAGGUCUUCGGAUUGUAAAGUUCUUUUCUAAGGGAAGAAGAAAGUGACGGUACCUUAGGAAUAAGCCUCUGCUAACUACGUGCCAGCAGCCGCGGUAAUACGUAGGAGGCAAGCGUUAUCCGGAAUGACUGGGCGUAAAGGGUGCGUAGGUGGUUUGACAAGUUAGUAGCGCAACUCCGGAGCUCAACUUCGGAACUACUACUAAAACUGUUGGACUUGAGUGCAGGAGGGGCAAUCGGAAUUCCUAGUGUAGCGGUGGAAUGCGUAGAUAUUAGGAGGAACACCAGUGGCGAAGGCGGCUUACUGGACUGUAACUGACGUUGAGGCUCGAAGGCGUGGGGAGCAAACA